rnacentral:rRNA from 1 species
CACGUAGGGCGCAAGCGUUGUCCGGAAUUAUUGGGCGUAAAGAGCUCGUAGGUGGUUUGUUACGUCCGCUGUGAAAUCCUAGGGCUUAACCCUGGGCUUGCAGUGGAUACGGGCAGACUAGAGGUAGGUAGGGGAGAAUGGAAUUCCUGGUGUAGCGGUGAAAUGCGCAGAUAUCAGGAGGAACACCGGUGGCGAAGGCGGUUCUCUGGGCCUUACCUGACACUGAGGCGCGAAAGCUAGGGGAGCAAACGGG